rnacentral:lncRNA from 1 species
GGAAAAAGGAGCCAGAUGCAGGACUCGAUCCCAGGAACCCGGGAUCACAACCUAAGCAGAAGGCAGAUACUCAACCACUGAGCCACCCAGGCAUCCCUUCCUUCCGGAAUUUAAUGUCUGCCAACUUCAAGAAAAACUAAGCUUAUUCUGACAUCAUCACUCUAAUAACUGGAAAAACCAAAAAGGCCUGGACACUUCUGGGUCACUUGGAAUGAAGGGCGACACCUAGGGGACAGUGGUGGGAUAAGUGGAAAGCCCAGCACCUGACCCUGUUAUGACCAGAUGAAACCAGCUGGAACUCUCUCCACAAGGAAGGUGCUAUUGUCAGCAUUUAAGAACACUAGUCCAAGUCACAUGGGGAAACCUCCCUGAAAGCUGUCCUGGCUAUCAGAGCUCAUGGCACUGGGCUUCAG